GAGGUGAAUGACAAAGUGCUCGCCAUGGCGAAAACCGUCAGAUCGUCAAGACGCCGUGAAUACAUCCUUGUAGGCUCGUUCCGUGCCAUACCUGGCGCAAACGCUUG
rfam:Yersinia ruckeri strain 37551 YRO1b0000003, whole genome shotgun sequence.